CAGGCCUAACACAUGCAAGUCGAGCGCCCCGCAAGGGGAGCGGCAGACGGGUGAGUAACGCGUGGGAACAUACCCUUUACUACGGAACAACUCCGGGAAACUGGAGCUAAUACCGUAUGUGCCCUUCGGGGGAAAGAUUUAUCGGUAAAGGAUUGGCCCGCGUUGGAUUAGCUAGUUGGUGGGGUAAAGGCCUACCAAGGCGACGAUCCAUAGCUGGUCUGAGAGGAUGAUCAGCCACAUUGGGACUGAGACACGGCCCAAACUCCUACGGGAGGCAGCAGUGGGGAAUAUUGGACAAUGGGCGCAAGCCUGAUCCAGCCAUGCCGCGUGAGUGAUGAAGGCCUUAGGGUUGUAAAGCUCUUUCACCGAUGAAGAUAAUGACGGUAGUCGGAGAAGAAGCCCCGGCUAACUUCGUGCCAGCAGCCGCGGUAAU
rnacentral:rRNA from 1 species